UACAGAGGUCUCAAGCGUUGUUCGGAUUCAUUGGGCGUAAAGGGUGCGUAGGUGGCGCCGUAAGUCGGGUGUGAAAUUUCGGAGCUUAACUCCGAAACUGCAUUCGAUACUGCGGUGCUUGAGGACUGGAGAGGAGACUGGAAUUCAUGGUGUAGCAGUGAAAUGCGUAGAGAUCAUGAGGAAGACCAGUGGCGAAAGGCGGGUCUCUGGGCCGAUACUGACGCUGGAGGAGCGAAAGCGUGGGGAGCGAACAGG
rnacentral:rRNA from 1 species